rnacentral:rRNA from 1 species
GUAUAGAACCUACCUUAUAUUGGGGGAUAGCCCAGAGAAAUUUGGAUUAAUACCCCAUAGUAUGCUGAAGUGGCAUCCUUUAGUAUUAAAGAUUUAUCGAUAUAAGAUGGCUAUGCGUUCUAUUAGCUAGUUGGUAUGGUAACGGCAUACCAAGGCUACGAUAGAUAGGGGUCCUGAGAGGGAGAUCCCCCACACUGGUACUGAGACACGGACCAGACUCCUACGGGAGGCAGCAGUGAGGAAUAUUGGACAAUGGAGGCAACUCUGAUCCAGCCAUGCCGCGUGCAGGAAGACUGCCCUAUGGUUGUAAACUGCUUUUAUAGAGGAAGAAACCCCCCGACGAGUCGGGUCUGACGGUACUCUACGAAUAAGGAUCGGCUAACUCCGUGCCAGCAGCCGCGGUAAUACGGAGGAUCCAAGCGUUAUCCGGAAUCAUUGGGUUUAAAGGGUCCGUAGCGGAUUUGUAA